rnacentral:rRNA from 1 species
UGGGGAAUAUUGCACAAUGGGGGAAACCCUGAUGCAGCGACGCCGCGUGAACGAAGAAGGUAUUCGUAUCGUAAAGUUCUGUCCUAUGGGAAGAUAAUGACAGUACCAUAGAAGAAAGCUCCGGCUAAAUACGUCCCAGCAGCCGCGGUAAUACGUAUGGAGCGAGCGUUGUCCGGAAUUAUUGGGCGUAAAGGGUACGCAGGCGGUUUAAUAAGUCGAAUGUUAAAGAUCGGGGCUCAACCCCGCAAAGCAUUGGAAACUGAUAAACUUGAGUAGUGGAGAGGAAAGUGGAAUUCCUAGUGUAGUGGUGAAAUACGUAGAUAUUAGGAGGAAUACCAGUAGCGAAGGCGACUUUCUGGACACAAACUGACGCUGAGGUACGAAAGCGUGGGGAGCAAACAGG